rnacentral:lncRNA from 1 species
AUGUGCCCGACCCUUCUCCAGUAAGGUGAGGCAAGUGAAAAAACGGCAAAAGGCUCAAAGGCUCAUCAGCUCGUGGGGGUGCCGGCAGCCCUGCCCCGAAAGACCCAGUGGUCUAAAUAGAUGUCUCAGCUGUCCCGAAACUGAAAAGGACCCAGCGGUCCGAAACUGCACUGCUCCUGGAGCAGGAUGCCAAACCUGACCCAUGGGAAAUUUAAGUGAACUGGAGGACACAGAAGAAUAAAACCUUAGAGGACGGGCCUGGCUGGUGGCGGCUCACUCCUGAAGAAGAUAUGCGUAGCCAGCCAUGGUACUCGGACCUCCAGAGCCCCCUGCCCUUAUUGCUUCUCCUACA